CGCCCGUCCUUCUUUUUCCGGUGCUUUCAGCCGUUAGGUGCAACUUCCUGGUGCAGUCACUCCACUGUUGUUCUGUCCUCUCCCGGCUUGUGUGGCGAACGUGGGUGUUUGUAAAACCGUUUCUCCAAAUCCUUCGAGGGUGUGAACCGUCCCGAGGCUGAUGUGUUUCCCUCCCCUCCGGAAGCGCCGAGGGGGUGAAGUGCGCGUGUUCGCUGCGCUCUUGGCAUGAUGCGCUAACGUGUUUUCAACUCCAGGCCCUUCCGCUGCCAAGUACUGCCCUGUUCCCCGGUUCGAAAGCUGGACUUGAAACGCGUACCUCGUGAUAAUGCCGUCACAUUCCGUCCUUGCUGUGAGUGUCUGCCGCCUAAUACGUUCAUGUGAAGAAGACAGCAGAGUGGCCCGGAGUGGAGAUCGGCCCCACAGGCUGUCCUCGGCGGGCUGAUGUCGGUGCCUGUUACGCAUCGAUGCCGUCCAUCCGACUCCUGUGGGGCCCGCGUAGUUGUAACGUGUCCAUUUGUUUGUUUAGAUGUCGAGCAGAUGUUCCCUGUGUCUCAGAUGUUACUGGAAAAUGGACAGUGUUGGGGGUGGCGGUUUAAAAAGAAAAAGGCAAAAGGGGAUCCGAGUUACAAUUCUUACGGGAAGCAGUAAAUGCCUCAGUUUACGCAAUGGAGAAUGGGUUUGCAGACAGUGUCGGCUAAUCAUCUUCCUGUCGAAACGCCUGUUUGGAGACUUUUUCAACGUGGCUUGAUUGACUAGGCGCCUCAGUGUCAUAAUUGACUUUUGGGAGGGGAUUCGCAUCACAUUAAUAGAAGAUGCUCUCUGUGUUAAAGUUUACUGUGAGCAAAAUGUUACUCUAACUGUUUUUGCCUCCUUCACUGUUGAGCAUUUCUCUUUGUGGGGUCAUAUAAACCGAUGAGAAAUUCAUGAUGGGGAAAACUUGUAUGGUUCUUCAUCUCGUUUUUGGUCAUUGUUCUUUUGCAUUGUGAUGACGACUGUGGACCUUUUUCUUAGGAUGCUGCAUACGUCUGCAAAAUCUUGCACGUGAACUGUAGACCUCUAAAGACGCAUAGGCUACGCCCUCUGCUUUGGCUUAUCUCUUGAAAUAAACUGGUACUCUUCUUGGAACGUGAAA